UCUCUUCUCUUCUGGAACUCUCCGUAGUCCAUAUAUGUUCUCUCUCUAGAACUCUCUGUCUCUUCUCUCUCUCUUAUCUUCUUCUCCUUUCUAAUAAACGUAUUUUUUUCUUUUUUCUUUACCUCCCAAACCACCGAUCUGUACUGUGAUUCAACUCCUUCACAACCCAGCCUUAGCACCGAUCUCUCUCUACGAAUCCAGAUCAACAAAAAAAUUUGAAACCCAAGAACAUUUGCAGCCGAUCUGCAUGAGAGAAGAGCCAGAAAAAAAAAAUGGAGCUCAAGCCCGUAUAUGUUCUUUCUCUCUGGAACUCUCUGUAUCUCUUCUCUCUCUCUUUUCUCUCUAUCAUUUCAAGACGACAGGACCAGAUCGGCCCAGGAAGAAAGAAAAAAAAAAAAAAAACAUGGGAAGAAACACCGAGUAAUUUUUACAGUGUUCUUUCUGUGGAGUAGGAUUAUAAUGCCUUUUGGGUUGUUGGAGGUAAGGAGAUUAGAGGCUCUAUCUUUGAUUUGAAGGGGCCCUGUGGUUUACCCCGAGCCUUGGUGAGUCGGGGUAUUGGCUAAAAAUCCACUGAGGUCCUUGAGAUGGCACGAGUCAUCAAGUAGAGGUUUGUGAUUCCAAGGCUGCAGAGCAAGAGAUUGUUCUUGAGAAGUUCGAUGUUUUAAGGGAUUGAAGACCAACAUUACCAAAGAGCUCAAUGCCAGGCACAAAAGCUAGCGAUUAUGGACUGUGGCUAUGAUUUGUUGAGCUUCUUUGAGUUGUGAAACUGAAGCUCUCUCUCUUUCCAAAGAGUACCGAUCACACAUGCAGCAGAACAACAUCCUGAUGAGGUCAGAUUUUCAAGGUUCGAGGACAUGAAAGCAAAUGUCCAUAAGGCAUUUGAUGAAGAGCUUCUAUUAUAGCAUAUGACAACAUUAAUUGCGAAAAAUUAAAUAUUGUUACAAUGUUGUAGCAAAUACUCGGUUGUUGUUUAUUGUUAAAGGAUGAUAUUUGUAACUUGUAAGCAUUCUUAGAAGUUUUUAUUGAAUGGAUAUUGCUUUUAACAAAUA